rnacentral:misc_RNA from 1 species
GAUGAAGAACGCAGCGAAAUGCGAUAAGUAAUGUGAAUUGCAGAAUCCAGUGAAUCAUCGAAUCUUUGAACGCACAUUGCGCCCGCCAGCAUUCUGGCGGGCAUGCCUGUUCGAGCGUCGUUUCAACCCUCGACCUCCCUUUGGGGAAGUCGGCGUUGGGGACCGGCAGCACACCGCCGGCCCUGAAAUGGAGUGGCGGCCCGUCCGCGGCGACCUCUGCGUAGUAAACCAACUCGCACCGGAACCCCGACGUGGCCACGCCGUAAAACACCCAACUUCUGAACGUUGACCUCGAAUCAGGUAGGACUACCCGCUGAACUUAAGCAUAUCAAUAAGCGGAGGA